UUUAUCCCUUUCUCUCUUCAUCUUGAAAUGGCAUAUGGCAAGAUGUAAGCACAAGGGUGGACAAGCAGAUGGGAAAAAACAGCAUGUUCUCGGGGUCACUAGAAACCUUGUGGAUGCUUCAACUGUGUCAAAUGCACAAGCAGUGCAGAGAAGAACAAGAUAAAC